UCAGGACGAACGCUGGCGGCGUGCCUAACACAUGCAAGUCAACGGGGAUUUGUUUCGGCAGAAUCCUAGUGGCGAACGGGUGAGUAACGCGUAGGCAACCUGCCCUCCGGCCGGGGACAACACUCCGAAAGGGGUGCUAAUACCGGAUACGAAGUCUGUGCCGCAUGGUACGGAUUUGAAAGAUGGCCUCUGUUUACAAGCUAUCGCCGGGGGAUGGGCCUGCGUCCGAUUAGCUGGUUGGUGGGGUAACGGCCUACCAAGGCGACGAUCGGUAGCCGGUCUGAGAGGAUGAACGGCCACAUUGGGACUGAGACACGGCCCAGACUCCUACGGGAGGCAGCAGUGGGGAAUCUUCCGCAAUGGGCGCAAGCCUGACGGAGCAACGCCGCCGUGAGUGAGGAAGUUCUUCGGAACGUAAAGCUCUGUUGUUCCUGACGAACCUCCCCUUUAUCAACAACGGAGGGGACUGACGGUAGGGAACGAGGAAGCCACGGCUAACUACGUGCCAGCCGCCGC
rnacentral:rRNA from 1 species